GGGCCUGAGGUUGUGGAGGGAAUUCAAGUUCAAGGAGACACAGAUGAUUAUGCAGGAUCUCCGCCUACACAAGCAGAUGCUCGUGCAUUAACACCAGAGAUUGCCGGUUGCAGCAGCGUCCUGCAAGACGUUGAAGAGAAUGAGAAUGAC